rnacentral:lncRNA from 1 species
GAAUGACCUAUUUUACCCAAGUUAGCUCUGAAACGACCUAUAGUUAGCUAGGGUUCCACCUAAAUGACAUAAUUAGCUUAGUUAGCUCCUAAAUGGUCUAUACUUAGCUAAUUUCUCUCCGAAAUAACCUAUAUAUACACUACUUCAUCUACUAUUAUUCUUCUAACUUUCUUAUUUGUCAUUUUGCAGAUUACCUUCACUUCACUGGAAGCUUGGCAAAUAUUGAUGGAAUGCUUGAAGAUGAUUUCUUGUAACAUGGGUUGUAUUGAAACUAUUGUAGUAUAUGAAUAUAUGAAACUUUGUAUGCAUGUGGAUGAAACUGGUGUAAUAUAUGAAACUUUGUAUGCACGUGGAUGCAACUUGAUAGCUGGAUAUAAGAGGUUAUUUUAAUAUGGUUAUGAGUACGGAAAGAAAUUUAUUUA